GCCACGCAAGCCCAAGAUACCAAGAAGCCCAAAAUGAAGCUCUAAAAGAAAGAAUUCCCGAGUUAUCUAGGUCGACCGUUACAGUCGACCGACGGAUUAUGCAUUAAGUUUGAACUGCCAGGUUGAGUUUCGAUGUCAAAUGACAUGAGCACGUGGGCUAAUUGACAACUUUAUGGCACAAUGCUGAAGAAACAAGCUUACUUAACCAUCGACUCAGGACAUGUGAUGAUUACCAACCAAUCAAAGUCUAUGACGAGACACAAGGCAAAAUUGGAUCGUCGAGCUCAAGCAGGUUGCUUGGCUCUCAGAGCAAUGCUAGGCAGAUCACCAGAAGAAUGCUCAGCAUAUGGACUGCUUAGCAGGCAUGAUGCUCUACAAACGACUGCAUCUCGAGGAGCCCCACAGCUAGACUACCAUUAAAAAUGAAGUUCAAACUCAUCCACCAACACCACCAAGUUUAUUGUCACUCCAAAGCUGCCACAUGGCUUCAGUCCUCCGGCUGCCAAGAGUGUUUUGAGGUGCCAUCUCAAAACUUCAGCCCGAACAUCUCCUAGACAUUCCAGUUCUUGCCAGGCUCUGCAGCUGUUGGCGGUUGCUGGUCCGGACCCUUCAUCUGGAUGAGAAAAAUGUGUCUAUGACAUUGGAUUCACCCAAGGACUUCUCGGAAUGGACACAUUCUCAAAUGCAGAUGGAUCGGUGAUCCAGGGAUUCGUCAUAGGUUGUUGUACACACAACACACAACCACCUUGUCUUCGGAGAUAAUAGGUUGGCCAUAAGUGAAUGUUGGGCCUUGGGUCAGGCCACCCCACAUCUACAAAGCGUCGGAUGAUCAAGGCGAACCUGACCACUACGGAAUGGGAGCUGUUCUCAAGUUGCCUUCCUUCCGUUGAAGAACUAACAACGUUGACAAGGGUGCUGCAACACUGGACAUUAGGGAUGAGGCGGGUAUAGAUAGCAAGGGAAUCCAAUUCACUCCGAUCAUCUGAGGCCCGGCUGAGGAGGAGUACUUCAAGUACUACCUAAAUUUCACAGGAAUUACUAUGAUCUGCUGUAUGGCUUCUAAGAUGCUGGGUCCAACUCCGAUGAUCUGGACAUUAAUCAUGCAGAUUUCAUUUUCCUCGGCAAAUUCAGAAAAAACCUGAGACAACUCCCUCAUUGCCCUGCCGUCGAAACUGAACUCAAUUCUCGGAAAUAGAUCAUGUGGAUGCCACUAAGUCUGACCAAAUCGCCUGUGGCGUAGCACAAGUCAACUCUUGUCUUGCUAUCCGAGACAGUUAUGACUCCAUAACUGUGGCCAAGUACUCGACAACAUCGGAGCCAUGGCUGCCAAGUCCUUGUGAAGGGAUAUCGAAGCCAUACAUGGCUUCGUAAUAAAUGUUGGAACCCCGCUGACAUUAUUGCUGAUGCAACAUACUAUCCGUUGGCAAAACGUGUCGUCGAAUACUUGCCCACAAGGUAUGGAGUCGUGCCUGUCCCGGAUUGCAAGACAGGAGUUGACUUGUGCUAUGCCACAGACGAUCUGGUUGGCCUUAGUGGCUAUCCAAAUGAUCUGUUUCCGAGAAUUGAGUUCAGUUUCGAAGACGGGGCAAUGAUGGGGCUGUCCCAGGGUUUUUCUAAAUUUUCUGAGGAAAAUGAAAGCUGUAUUAUUCUCCACACCGUCGGAGUUGGACCCAGCAUCAUAGGGGUCAUACAACGACAGAGAGGUUUUUGUUUGAUCUCAGCAACUCUGUCAUGGCCUUUGCUCCAAACCAAAGCUAGCAUGAUGUGUUCUCUGUUCGGUCUCCAAACGUAAUAGCAACUGUACCAGUGUUGAUUUAUAACUAUAAUCUAGUUAAUAAAAGGGGUACCAUCCACACAACCAUUUUUA